rnacentral:rRNA from 1 species
GACGAAAAAUGAAUACCAAGUCUCAAGAGUGAACACGUAAUUCAUUACGAAGUUUAAUUCAUUGAGCAUCAAACUUUUAAAUUGAAGAGUUUGAUCAUGGCUCAGAUUGAACGCUGGCGGCAGGCCUAACACAUGCAAGUCGAACGGUAACAGGAAGCAGCUUGCUGCUUNNNNNNNNNNNNNNNNNNNNGAGUAAUGUCUGGGAAACUGCCUGAUGGAGGGGGAUAACUACUGGAAACGGUGGCUAAUACCGCAUAACGUCGCAAGACCAAAGAGGGGGACCUUCGGGCCUCUUGCCAUCAGAUGUGCCCAGAUGGGAUUAGCUUGUUGGUGAGGUAACGGCUCACCAAGGCGACGAUCCCUAGCUGGUCUGAGAGGAUGACCAGCCACACUGGAACUGAGACACGGUCCAGACUCCUACGGGAGGCAGCAGUGGGGAAUAUUGCACAAUGGGCGCAAGCCUGAUGCAGCCAUGCCGCGUGUAUGAAGAAGGCCUUCGGGUUGUAAAGUACUUUCAGCGGGGAGGAAGGUGUUGUGGUUAAUAACCGCAGCAAUUGACGUUACCCGCAGAAGAAGCACCGGCUAACUCCGUGCCAGCAGCCGCGGUAAUACGGAGGGUGCAAGCGUUAAUCGGAAUUACUGGGCGUAAAGCGCACGCAGGCGGUCUGUCAAGUCGGAUGUGAAAUCCCCGGGCUCAACCUGGGAACUGCAUUCGAAACUGGCAGGCUUGAGUCUUGUAGAGGGGGGUAGAAUUCCAGGUGUAGCGGUGAAAUGCGUAGAGAUCUGGAGGAAUACCGGUGGCGAAGGCGGCCCCCUGGACAAAGACUGACGCUCAGGUGCGAAAGCGUGGGGAGCAAACAGGAUUAGAUACCCUGGUAGUCCACGCCGUAAACGAUGUCUACUUGGAGGUUGUGCCCUUGAGGCGUGGCUUCCGGAGCUAACGCGUUAAGUAGACCGCCUGGGGAGUACGGCCGCAAGGUUAAAACUCAAAUGAAUUGACGGGGGCCCGCACAAGCGGUGGAGCAUGUGGUUUAAUUCGAUGCAACGCGAAGAACCUUACCUGGUCUUGACAUCCACGGAAGUUUUCAGAGAUGAGAAUGUGCCUUCGGGAACCGUGAGACAGGUGCUGCAUGGCUGUCGUCAGCUCGUGUUGUGAAAUG